rnacentral:rRNA from 1 species
UACGAAGGGGGCUAGCGUUGUUCGGAAUUUCUGGGCGUAAAGCGUGCGCAGGCGGCUUCUCAAGUCAGGGGUGAAAGCCCAGAGCUCAACUCUGGAAUUGCCUUUGAGACUGAGUGGCUUGAGUACGAGAGAGGUGAGUGGAAUUCCCAGUGUAGAGGUGAAAUUCGUAGAUAUUGGGAAGAACACCGGUGGCGAAGGCGGCUCACUGGCUCGUAACUGACGCUCAUGCACGACAGCGUGGGGAUCAAACAGG